CUCAUCUCAUGUGGACAACACCUGACAUUUCUUUUUACUUUAAAAUCCAUGUCUCUCGCAUGCCUUGAGGAAGCAUUUUCCGAGCUGCAGAAGACUGGCUGGUAGGGGGCAGUGGGAAUGACACACAUAACCCCAGACGACAGCGGCCUCUGAGAGCUUCCAUAAAAGUACGCAGGGCAAAGGAGCGCACAGGAGCACAUCUGAGAAUGUUCACUGUGUUGAAGGAUUUUGAAGCAUGCUUUUCUCUUUUUAAAGAAAAUAAAAUCAGAAGUUGUGUAGAUCAGGAUGUGAAAGAACCUAUUUGUUAUUUAGUUCGAAUAUGGGAAGGGAGGAAGGCAGUGCACACGAACUGUGGCCUCCGGCUUCCUGCAACUCACAGGAAGGGAAACCACCCCAUCCUGGUGGGGCUCCAGGGGGCCUGACAACCAUCCCAGGGAUCCCACAGAAUCCAGUAAAGUGUUUGCUGCUACUUAUCAAAAAUGUCCUCUGUGGAAUAUGGGUUCGGGAAAGAUGGAGAAAUACAUUUGAAAAACAAAUGUGAAUCGAAGAAGCAGUUACACCGAUAACUCUCAGAACUGGCUGAAACUGACUCUAAAUUGUUAAUAAAAGUCACUCUCUUUAAGACCCUGGGUGCCAUACUUCACCUUAAGGGCUUUUGGGGAUGCUUUUCUGUUGAACUUCUAAGCAUGCAGGUGGACAACGGCAGUGGACACAACCUUAACCAAAAGCCUUAGCCUGAGAGUCUAGUCCCAAAUCAACUUUAGAGCCCUACUAAAGGGAUGAGAGCUGGAUCUUGUUAUCGAGGAGGCAACAGUUACAUAAAAACAGCUGUCAUAAAGCUUUUCAGUAAGCAAUUCUGGUCAUCAAGGAGGACAGUCUCCAAGUCUCAGAGGUUUCGGUAACUACCUGGUCAGCCCCUUUCGCUAAGCAACUGGAAAGCGAGCUCGUGGUACGCCAGGAACAGUGAAGGACAAUGGGAAAGAAGUUUGAGUGAUGCCUUUGCCUUGUGAAUAAUGAACGGUUCAGGAAGGUCAACCCAUUACAACUGAAACUGUUUAAUUAUUAAUUAUGCGCAAUCUAUGGGCAAAAGGACAAGUUCAGAAUGUUUAAUGUAUGCUAACUUCAACUGGACUCUCUCUGGGCAUUUUGUUAUUAGCACUUGUCAGCAAGGUACUCAGGCAUAGAAAAAGGCAAGCAGCAGAAAAUCUGUGUGCAUGUGUGUGCCUGUACCUGCUCACUCCGAGAGCAGGAGGAAGGGGAAGCAGGAGGAGGCGCCAUCUCAACCUUAGCUGCCACGAGUUCACAUGCAGAGUUGUUUGUCAGAAGUGCGUUCUGUGGCCUUGGAAGCAGGCAGGUCUCUUGUUGGUUAUAAGCUACCAUGCACAGCAUUACUUAGAGGUGCCUAUGUGCACAGCACACCCAUGUUCACAAUUACACUUGGACAAUAACAUCACAUACACCUCCCUCUUCAGGGGCUUAGGCAGCAUAAAACAUACCAUCUCAUACAGAAGGGAUUUCAUUUACAAAAGCAAAAUCCGUUAUUGUCCUCUUUUUCUGUGGCAUCCCAAUGCAUUUCUAUUGCUUUUUCAUCAAAUGCUGCUGCAAAUAAUCAAGCAUGACCACUGACAUCCACAAGAUUGAGUUUUAGGAACCAUUAAAUGAGCUCACCCUCAUGGGAAGUCUCUUGCUCAGGCUGGUCUAAAGGUAAUUAUUCCGCAAUUCCUACCUGUGGUAUUACCUUGUCCCUAUAUAGUGUUUGAAUUUCAUACUCUAGUAAGGUCAGUCUUUCUUUCCUCUGGAAAAGUCCAGCUACAUAUGUUUGAUCCAAGACCUAAUUGUAAUGUUAAUAUACACACUGGUAUUUCAUCGGGUACUAUGUGCACAAGUGCUGAUUAAAAUAGCUCUUAGAUUAAAGGUAGAUCAUAAAAUAUAUUAAGCCAAAACCAAACAGGAGAGCUGGGAGAGAAAAAUAGCCCUUAAUAGGUUCCUAAAUGAGAGGAGUAAUUCCUCUUUGCAUAGGUAAGGGCAUCUGAACCACAUUCACAGUGUUCAAGUGCAAGAAGCUGGCAGGUCCUCGUCCUGAAAAAUCAACAAGCCAUAACACUAUCAAGUCAGACUGAGAACUCGCUGUAAACCCGAAGUCCACAUCGCCACACUGUAUGUCCUCGAAUGUUCACUCAACUGUUAGUUAAAAUAAUUACUGCCAUUUGCCACCUGCACUGCGAGCUACAGAUAAGGGGAGAAACAGAACUUCAGUGACUGUGGCGCCUAGCACUGGUGGUAUUUUCCCUACACAUUUUAAAAGAAAUUCAAAGGCUCCAUCAGCUACAAUUCAAAGGAUGAGAAUUAUAUAUGAAUCUGUGUCAUCCUUGGUUCCAUCCAAUAAAUAACAACAGAAUUUAAAGCUGGCUGAUGAAGAUACCACGUCAGUUUAAAAUCAGUUAAUAAAAGAGGAACAAAGAGGGGGGAGAUGGAGAGAGGAAGGGAGAGGAAAUGAAGAAAAAAACAGAACUACAUACUGUGAAAUGAACAAGUUCAGUUAGAAUGUUCAUCAGGAUUUGGAAAAUCAUAAUGCCAUCUGCUACUCUGGACCUCAGAACAUCAGGGAUCUCCUGGGCCCAGACGCUUCCAUUUCCAGGAGGAAGGAAGAACUUACACUCCCUGGAAAGCUGCCUCCAUUCUGGAAUGGAGGCGACACCCCAGCCGACCAGUUUGGAAUCGCUUUUGAGAACAUUUUGCUGCUCACACACGCGUUUCCCCUGGUUUAGGGAAAAUUAACAGCAAGCAAAACGAUUACAGCAACUCGGCAGUGAGGCGGCGCAGGGACCCAGCCCGAGCUGCUGGGUAACUGACCCUGGCAUCCAACUUGGGCUCGGGGUGUGGAGGUCCCACCAUGGUGGAUUAAAUGAGCAUUGUCCUACGGCUGGGUACGACUUCACAAUAGAGCAACACAUGUUAAAUGACAGCAGCCAAAACUGGCCCCACCAGGCAACUGCCCAUUCACAGACCGCUAUUCAAAGGCCUCCACCACCAAGAAAUUAAUUCAUUAAUAAUACAUCAGGCUUCCUAGACAAUUCAAAGGCAACAACACAAAGCUACUUGUUCAGUGACUGCCUGAAGAUGCAGAAUUUUUCCUGGUUAAAAGGGCCUCACAAAUCUAAUUGACUCACUGGAACCAAAGUGAUGGGGAUGUUUAUGUUAACAAUUUGGUCAGUAAAAAAGAAGAAAUGGAGAAAGUCUAUCCACUGAAUUCAGUUGGUGCCACUAGGAAAUAAUAAAAAUAGAGAUUUGCAGCUGCAGCUAAUAAAAUCUGAUUUUACAUAA